UUUUUUUUUUUUUGUUCCUUAAUCAAAGCCUAAUCGGGUUUGGUUCCUUUAAAUUUCGAUUUGCUUGUGCUGUGUAUUCUCCUUAUUAGAGUUCUCUUUUUCUGGGUUGUUAUUUUACUUUUUAUGUAAAGCUUUUGAAGCUAAGGGUGGUUUAAACUUGGGCUGGAAAUAUGUACUUUUGAGAGAUUGGUUGUAUGGAGGAGGCAUGGAGCUGAAGUGCUACAUUAAGUUUUGAUAGGAGUGUUUUAGAUUACCUGUCUUGCCUACAUAUGUGAAUCUGAGGCAUUUGAUGAAACAGAUGGAUUUUUUUUUCUUCAGCCAAGUAGUUCUCUGAACUGGUUGGAAUGGAGGAAAUGGGUCCAUAUGAUAGCCAAGUCUAAUUAGUUUGGGAUUAAAGCUUAGCUGACUGAGUUUAUAAAUUGUCAAAUUUAAUGCUCCGUCUGAUACUGUAUUUUGGUUUCUGAAUUAUUUGUGCAUACUGUUCUUUAGUAACCAUGUCUACUUAAAUGCUUUCAUGGAUAUAAUUAUAAGUGAAGCAUGAACUUCAUGAAAGAUGUCUGCUCGUACUUAUUAAUGACUAUACACUCUACUCUUGAUGUUUUGUCUAUCCUCUUUAUGAUUGGAACAUGUGUGGAGGAGGAUCUGAAUUCCUAGAAGUACUGUGAUUUUUUGUUUGACUAGCAAAUAAAUCCUUUGAGGUGCACAAGAUGGUGUAAUGCAACUCAAGGGUACUCCAAGAAUAAUGUUUAUGCAUGGGCACAAUAUUUUAUCGUAAACUGAGUGCUGCUAAAAUUGUCUUAUCUGUUUUUAGAAUGUAGUUUCGAGAAUGCAAUUCUGUUAUUGGUUGAUGUAUAUACAUUGUCCUUUUAAAUUUCUACCAGCCAUUGGGAUGACAUUUAUCCAUGGAGAUUAUGUUAUUAUUUCUAUAAGUUAAACUUCUUAGUUUCAAAAUUUUAUUGGGACAAUGCUUAUCUGAAGUGGUUUGCUGUGACCCUUCCAUCAAAAUUCUACUUCUUUACUCAUUACACAAUAUUUGUUCAAGUAUAGACAUCACUGUCAAGUUUAUAUGAUUGCUACAUUUUUCAUUAGAGUUCUAUUUUAUUCUAUAGUUUUCAUCCUUUUGUGAUAGGAAAAUGGAUGGGUCAACUCACAGAAGUAGCAGUAGUGUUGAUGUUUUUUUACCAAAUUACAAGCUUGGUAAGACUCUUGGAAUUGGUUCCUUUGGUAAGGUGAAAAUUGCAGAGCAUGCAUUGACUGGCCAUAAAGUUGCCAUCAAGAUACUUAAUCGUCGCAAGAUAAAGAACAUGGAGAUGGAAGAAAAAGGUAAGAAUUGCGCAUGAUUUUUUCUCUCUCUCUCUCUCUCUCUCCCUCCCCCACCCCCCGCCCUUCUCUCCUUUCAACUCCCAAUUCUUACAAUUAUGCGUGAUUAGAUCAAGCGAUAUCAUGUCAGUUGAAGAUAUAUGAUUUAUUUUCUGUUUUCCUGCAGUGAUGGAUGCUUCUGAUUUUUGUGCAAGUGUAGUUAAUUAUAAAGAAAAACAUUUAUGCUAUUGGGUAAAGGUUGAAAUAUGGAGUCCUGUGUUAAAACAAUAUGGAUCUAUAUUUUGACUUAUUAACCCAUUCCUUUAGCAGCUUUAGUAAGAAACUUGUCUAUUUUUGGGUACCUUUAUGGUUCACAGUUUAUUGAAAUUUCAUCAUUUGCAUAGUUGGUUUUGUUUGUUUAUUAGAUGCUGAUAUGAUAUUUGACUCUAUUUCCUUUUUUCUUUGGCAGUGAGAAGAGAAAUCAAAAUCCUGAGGUUGUUUAUGCAUCCUCACAUUAUAAGACUAUAUGAGGUUAUAGAAACACCAACUGAUAUUUAUGUUGUAAUGGAGUAUGUGAAGUCCGGAGAGCUCUUUGAUUAUAUUGUGGAGAAGGGUAGGCUACAGGAAGAUGAGGCACGCAAUUUCUUCCAGCAGGUAUGAUUGGCUACUAAGAUGCAUUGAGUUUAGUCCAUAGUUAUAUUCAUUUUCUCAAUUCAGUUUCUGGGCCAAAUUUCUUUUUGGAUGCAGAUAAUAUCUGGUGUGGAAUACUGCCACAGGAAUAUGGUUGUUCAUAGAGACCUUAAGCCUGAGAAUUUGCUUUUGGAUUCUAAAUGCAAUGUGAAGAUAGCGGAUUUUGGAUUGAGUAAUAUAAUGCGAGAUGGUCAUUUUCUAAAGACAAGCUGUGGAAGCCCAAAUUAUGCUGCCCCAGAGGUGUGGAUUUAUGGUAUUAAUUUAAGUUGGAAUGCUCAACUUUAAAACUGAAUUUAUCUUUAUUCUAUGAUCUUAAUUCCAAGGUUUUCUUAUUCUUUCUGUAGGUUAUCUCUGGGAAACUGUAUGCUGGACCUGAAGUGGAUGUAUGGAGCUGUGGGGUUAUUUUGUAUGCUCUUCUCUGUGGUACCCUUCCUUUUGAUGAUGAAAACAUUCCCAACCUCUUUAAGAAAAUCAAGGUAUUGGGGAUUUAUUUUGAUCUGAAUGUUCAGAUGUCUAAUGAGCUUACUUUCUGGGUACACCUAACUGCUGUUAUGGAAUUACUGGAGUUCAUUCUUUUCCUGAGUUCCUUGUCUUUUGUUUCUUCUAAAUUGACUAUCUUGUUUGAGUGCUAAACUUAAAAUACAAUCAUAUUAGCUUUUUGGCUGCUUAAAAUUUCCCCACCUGAAAAUCAUGGGCAUUAGAAAUGUAAAAAAUAAAUGCAUUGAGGCAAAGUUACUAUGAACCAAUGCAGGUUUUGUCUUAAUUUUUCAAAGUUGGUGCAGGAUUAGAAAUCACAUUAGUGACAUUCAUACUGUUUUCCUAGUAUUGGAGUGUCCAAAUUCAAGCAACCAAGAUAUGAGCCUGCCAUGAUAUAGCACACACCUUUACUGCCUGGUUGCACUGUUGUAUCUAAUCAACAAAUUUGCAGGAAUGAGAUGUUCAAGUUAUCUUCUUAUUCAAUCUUUCCAUAAAGGAUAAGGAUCAUUGUUUGCUUUUCUCAUUUAAUUAAGAUUUUCCUACAAUUAUAAGGAUUAUUUCAAUUGUCUUUGAUGGUCAGGAUUGUAUUGGUGCAUCUGUCUUUCUCUUCUCUCCCUUGUAUUUUGGCUCUGUAGUUUCUAAUUCAAACCUGGGUUUUUUAAAUCAUAUUUUUACUUGCUAUGCAUUAAACUUAUCUUGCUUAUCCUGCAUAACAUUUGUCCUUUAGGGUGGAAUAUAUACACUUCCCAGCCAUUUAUCACCUGGUGCUAGAGAUUUGAUCCCAAGGAUGCUUGUUGUUGAUCCAAUGAAGCGAAUGACAAUCCCAGAAAUCCGUCAGCACCCAUGGUUUCAAGCUCGUCUUCCUCGUUAUUUAGCUGUUCCUCCACCAGAUACAACACAACAAGCUAAAAAGGUUGGGAAACUUUUUGAGUGCAUGACUAAAUCCUAGUCAAUGAUUAAUGAUUCUUUGAUUUUGUUUCUUUUAAAAUUAGUAUUAGUUGCAUUUUCUUUCUGUGAGAAGGAAAAUAGUGUGGACUUUGCUGCUUCAUGCUUUGGUAUUUAUGAUAUGGAACCUAAUUCAUUUAAAUAAAAAUAUUGUUCAUGUCCUUGUGAUCUUAUGGAGCAGUUUAGAAUGAGAUAUUUGCAUUGACAUCCUUCUUCAUUUGUAGCCUCUAUAAUAAAUUAAUAAUUAGUCUGGGUACAAUUGAUUAUUGUACUUCCUUCAGACCUCUUUGUUUUAGGAGUAAUAGCUAGAAUCUCCUAAUCACUUUCAUUCUGCUACUAUACUAAAAGCUAGAAACUUAUAAUCAUUUUCAUUCUACUAAUUAUGGAAAUUGCUUGAUUCUCGGCACAAAUGAACAAAUUCCAUGGAACAUGUUUUCUUAUCAUUUCACUGAAAAGGCUCGACAUUUUUGUGCCAUUACUGGUGUUUACCCAACUGAAGCCUAAGCCUACAAGUGUAUGAAAAUCCAUAACUAAUUCAGGUCUUAAAUAAAAAAAGAGCUUUUUUUCAAAGAAGAUUACUUAUCUAAUUUCUGUAGCAGGUUCAAGUGGAAAUAAUUGAAAUCCUCGAGGCUAGGCGAUAAAUAAAUAAUAGAAAGUGGAGAGGACACGGACAACGCAUAGGUCUUGGAUUAUAUUUCUGAAAUCUGCCAUUAAAGAACAUUGAAAUAACUUUUACAAACUGCUAAACCCUUGAAUGUAUUAGGGCUGCAGGUUUUCUGUAAAAACUAAUUUGCUCAAACCAUUACAAAAAUGCAAAAUGAAAUAGGCUCAGCCUCUCUUCAAACCCGUUUUACGUAUUCUAAUUUUCAUAUAUGAUAAAUCCCUAAAAUAAGCAUAAGAUAAAGAAAAUCUAUCUUCUUUGUACUCCUUUCAUGUUGAAUAUUAUCUUUGAUUUAGGCUACUUAUGCCAUUGUGCAUUUGGUCUAUUUACGUAUUUUACUAGUGUUUGGUAAUGCAUGGAUUAUGUGUUUUAUUACAUUGUAAAUUUAGGGAGUCGAAUUCCUUCAGGACUACGCAAGCUGCUUACUUAACUAUUAACUGUCCUUUCUUCAGAUUGAUGAAGAAAUUCUCCAGGAAGUGGUGAAGAUGGGAUUUGACAGAAACCAACUUAUUGAAUCUCUUCGCAACAGAAUUCAAAAUGAUGUAGGUUCUCAUUUUAACUCUGCUAUUGGUUUUUAAUCUAUCUUUUUAUCUAUAGUAACUGAAAUUUGUUGUAUUAUUCUCAAUGAAUACAGGCUACUGUUGCAUACUAUUUGUUAUUGGACAAUCGAUUUCGUGUUGCCAAUGGCUAUCUUGGGGCUGAGUUUCAAGAGACAAUGGUAUGUUUCCCCCCUAAGUUUACCGUGGUGAACAAGAUCUUGUCAAGAUUGUACCUUUUUUAAGUAGAAACUAGAAAAAAUUUAGUUGGAUAAUGGAUUUGGAAAUUAACUUGCUUAGAACUUCUAAGUUUGUGAAUGUAACAGCCCUAGCUUGCUUGGCUCAAAAUGGCUAGCCCAAGUUACAUCUAGUAGCUGGGCUUGGGCUAUUUAAACUACUCUACCUUUUCUUUUCAAAGGCACGGACAGAGUGUUACAUACAGCAUCAUGCCAAUUGCCAUCUAUAUCUGAUGUUAGUGACUAUAUCUUCUUGCAUUUUAUUUCUGUUGAUCUACAAUUCAUCUUCUUAUUUUCUCUAGGAUUGUGGUUUCAACCAUAUGCAUCCAAAUGAUCCUACUUCUCCGGCUGCUGGGCAUCGCUUCCCAGGAUAUAUGGAUUAUCAAGGAACCGGUUUAAAAGCACAGUUCCCAGUUGAUAGGAAAUGGGCUCUUGGGCUUCAGGUUAAGUUUCUGUGCUUUUAAGAUUAGGGAAGGUUUCUGAGAGCCAGAUUUCACCAUGCAACAAAAUAUUUGUUUAUACAAAUAAAUAGGUUGUGAUGUUUUGGUGUGCUUAAGAAGUCAGGUUUUCUAUCUAAUGUGAUGCUUGGGUGAGAAAAUAUGAUAUGAUUAAUAAAUUGGGAUAAACUUUUUCUGUCCAUAAUUGUUGAGUUCUACUUUAUUACACGUCUAUAUGAUUAAAAAAAUGGAAAAUUUACUACUUAGUUCCUGUAGUAUGAGGAAAUUCACUAGCUAGUCCCUUAAUUUUGAAAAAUACAUUAAAACAUCUCUAAUGUUUUAAAAAAUUUACUGGUUAGUCCUUACGUUAGUUUUUACUGUUAAGUAUUUUACUAUUUAGUCCUUAUAAUUUGAAAAAAUUUAUUUGUUGGUUCCUCAAUCUUGUAAGAAGCCCACUAAGUAGUUCUCUUUAUUGAGAGUAUUUUAAACUUUUUUGCAAUAUUUAACAGUUAAAAUUAACGGAGUGAUUAAUUAGUAGACUUUUUAAAAUGCCAAGAACGCUUUAAUGUAUUUUUCAAAUAGGGACUACUAGUAAUUUUCCCUUAAUAAAUUGGGAUAAACUUUUUCUGUCCAUAACUGUUGAGUUCUACAUUAUUACAAGUAGGCAGCAGCAUUUGUAGUUUGGUGGAGUGAAGGGCUUAUAUUUUACUCAUUUUUGUUUAAAAAUAGUGAAUCAUAUUUGUUAUGUUCAAUUUGACAGUCACGAGCCCAUCCUCGUGAAAUAAUGACAGAAGUCCUCAAAGCCCUGCAAGAACUUAACGUGUGUUGGAAGAAAAUUGGUCACUAUAACAUGAAGUGCAGGUGGAUUCCAGGCAUUCCUGGUCAGCAUGAAGGCAUGGUUAAUGACCCUGUGCAUAAUAAUCAUUUCUUUGGGGAUGAAUCCACCAUUAUUGAGAACGAUGGAGUCAUUAAGGCACCAAAUGUAGUGAAGUUUGAAGUGCAGGUAAUAUACAUGUAUUAUUGUGUUGUUUAUUGCUGUUCUGCGGCACAACUUGGAAUUCAAAUGAAAAAUGUGUGACAAGUUGGGGAUUUCUGCGUGGACGUGUAUAUGUUAUAUUUUUUGUUGGUGGGUGUAUAUAAGAGAAAAUUAAGAACCUUUAGAUUGUUCAGAGCUUAUAAAGGAUCAACUUUCAAUCAUUGGUUAGAGUGAUUUUGCAAGCAUGAAGCUGAUGUGUAUAACGUAUGUUUAUGCAUGUUCUUGGCAGCUUUACAAAACUCGGGAGGAGAAAUACCUGCUCGACUUACAAAGGGUACAGGGACCCCAGUUUCUGUUCUUGGAUCUUUGUGCAGCCUUUCUUGCACAACUCCGAGUCCUUUAGAAUGAGAAACGGUAGGCUCUUUCUCUGGACCACGGACCUCUCAUUAUGCCUGUGAAUAAGAAACCACGGUGUAAAUAACUCUGUUGUUAAAUUUGACUUACGAUUACUGUUUUAAUUUUUCCCUCAAUUUUAAAUGGGCAAUUGUUAGGUAAAAGCUGACUUCCAGCACACAAGUUGGCUAAGUUACCAUUAAUCCUUUUUGACAGUCUGUUAUGUCUUUCAGUAGGAUCUCUUUUCAUUUUAAAGGGGAAUUUUAUAAUUUCUAAAGAGAGGAUUAACCUCUUCUUCCAUUGGCUCUUGCCUUUUAGCAUGUAAUUAUUUCUGCAGUGUGUUUGUAAUCAUAUAUUCUUGAUUGGUCUGUGUUGUGUCGAGUCUGAUUUUGAAGUAUAUGUAAACUACAUUUUGGUUCCUGUAAUUUAGUGAAAUAUACAUGUUAGUUUCUAUAUUUUGUAGUUUUAAAAAUUAAUAAAUUAGUCCUAAUGCUGAGAAAUGCAGUUGAGUGUUUUUUAUAAAAUUGAUCUAUAAUUUAAUUUCUAUGAUUUCAUAAAUCUUAAGAAAUUACUCCCUAUAAAAUAUACAUACUAUAAGUUAUCAUUAAAUAAAGGGCAAGUUAUUAUGAGGUUUUGGUUUUUGUUAAAAGUAAUUCUUAAUCUUUAUAUUUUAAUCACUCUAAGUAACAUGUUUAUGUAAAAUCAAAAUUUUUAGCUUUUCUGUGAUAAAAAAUAUUAAUAAUAUAAAUUUUGCUUGAUAGAAGAAUUAAAUAAUUUAAUUUUAUAAAACAAAUUGAGUGAUUAAAGAUAUGGGCUAAAUAGUUAAUUGAAGCAAAAUUUAGGAACUUGUUUACAAUGAUUAUAUAUGAAUAAGCAAUUUUCUUUUAAUGAAAAUCUCAUAUAUCAUUUCCAAAAGGUGGUAAUAAUAAAAUAAUAUCAACUCCUAUGACAGCCUAGUAUUUUGUGUAAGUGGCGGUACUGGAAUUUUCUUUUCCCCAAAAUGGGGUUCUUGUAUAUGAAAAAUAACUUUUUUUUUAAAAAAAUUCAAAUAAUUAUUAUUUGUCUUCUUUUGAAUCUUAAAUCAUAUAUUCUUUAAAUUUCUCCUAAGUUAAACAGAAAAAAAACAUAGAAAUGAUUUCUAAUUAGAAGAAAAAUAAAUCAUUGUGUAAAUCUCUAAUUUUCUAUAAUCUAAGAUCUAUAAAUUUUUUUUAUAGAAUAUUAGGUAUUAUUUUAUUCAAAGGAGAUGCAUGAAUCAAUGUCUAUGUAAAGAGAUAUGCCAUAUAAUUUUCCCUUUUCACAAAAAAACGAAUUAUUUAAGAAUAACAUGCAUGAAUAUUUAAGAAUAGGAAGAUGGUGAAAAUCAAACUUGAAAUUCACAUAUUUUUACACUAAAGAUAAUAAUUCUGAAUGAAAAUAAAGAAUCUUUAACUAAGAUCAAGUAGUUGUGUAUGGUUUCAGCUAUAUCGUGAUGGUAAAUCAUGUAUGGAUGUUUCUCAACAUUUACAUAUAUAUAACUAAAGAUUAGAAUUGCCUGAUAUCGAUUCAACUAUGUGUGGUUGACUUGUGAAUCUCAGAGUAUGAAAUUAGUUAACAAAGCAUAUUGGUGGAAGAUCAAGGGAAUUCCAAAGCGACAAUUCACCAUCAUUGCUCAAAGAAGAUGAUGAAGCAGAAGCCUCCAUUUUAAUUGAGGAGCUUUGUGAGUUCUCCUGUUUCUUCUCCAUUACUUCCAAAUUCUCUUCUUUUGCUUUCCUCUCCUUCUCUUUGAUCUUGCCACAUGCGUCUCGAAGAUUGGUCAAUUGAGCAGACCUUUCUCUUCCCUUCACAUUUCCUGAUUCGAGCUUCAACCUUAUGCACUCAGGAAUCCCAUUGAAGGCAUAAAGAGAAGCAGAGAAUUUUCUUUCAUAUUUCAUCCUCUUCAUGGCUGCUCUAAGCAUUGAACACUCAUCUCCAAAGGUCACUGGCUCCACUGGCUCAUCAAUCUCUUCUGCAAUUUCGAAAGGAGAGUAGUAACAAGAUGAUUCAACAUCAUCAACAAAAUGGAAAUCUAAGGCACCCAUAUCGAUCCCUUCUCCUUCGUCUUCUUCCUCAUCUUCUUCGCCUUCAUCUUCUGAGUUGUUAACAUUAAAGCUACAAGACUCUGCUAUAUCAUGCCAGUUACAGUACUCAAAAUCCAAUUCUCUCCCUCCAUUAUCUUCUUUCUCAGUUAAACAUGGCUCGAGACUUCUUUCCAUGUAAUCAACAGCACUUGAACUAGUAGUAUUAAUGUUAUCGUUGCUGCAAGUGGUGUAAUCUUCAGGAUCAUUGAGGAAAUCAGUGAAUUGGGUGUCUGAAAAAUCUGCUGUUUCUUCUCUAUAUUCUUCCACUUCUUGCAGUUCUUGCAGAUUGAUGGGAAGAGAAGGGGGCACAGAAGGGGGACUAGCUUUGAGCCUUUGGAGAAGAAGAUUCGUAAUCUUUGAAGGGAGAGCUGGAGUUGUUGAAGAAGAUGAAGAACAAGGCCAGAAAUUUGUUCUUGUAUUGGCACCACGAAGCAAACAAGCAGCUUCAUCAUAAGCUCUUGCUGCUUCCUCAGCAGUAUCAAAGGUACCUAACCGCACCCGUAUUUUUUGAAUGGUGUCCUUAAUCUCAGCAACCCAUCUGCCUGAAGGCCUUUGCCGGACACCGACAAAUCGCUUCCUAACUCUCCUGACACCUCCUAGUGCACCUUCCUUGACCAUCUCAUCCCAGGCCACGGUUGCUUCAGUAGAGUUUUUGUCCUCCACAGCUUCACCACCACCCUUUCUCUUCCGACCCAUAUCUUCCUUAGUUAGUUGUUUUAGCAGAGUCUUGUGGGUUGUGGGCAAGGAAAUAGAUGGCAGUUGGUGGUUUAGUUGCUAUGGUUUCCUUCCAUGGAAGGUGGUGUAUUUAUAUGAAGGGACAUAGACCCUGUCAAAGGAGAAGGAGAGCUGAAAGGGUCUGAUUACUUGUUACCAUCUCUUUGUUAUUUAUAAUGACAUAAUUACUUAUAAUUAUUACUCAUAAAUCAUAAUUGAAACAAUUAUAUAUAAGUAUUGUGUGAUAAUUACGUGAAAGAAUAAAAUAAAGGCUGAAUAGUCUCCUUCUUGAUUAAGGCAAGUAGGAAGUAAUCAAUGCCCAUUCUUGCUCCUCCACGUGGAGGUCUUAUAGUUAAUGAAUAGUCUCCUUCUCAAGACAAAUAAAGUAGUAUUUGUGAUAAUAAUGACCGAGUUGGCAUGAAUUCAUAAUUAGAUUUCAUCAUAUAAAGCUAUUAAGAGCUAAGUAUAUAUUUGCAUCCAAUACAAAAGCAUUAAUCUAAUACAAAUUGAAAAAAAAUACAUUAAAGGAAAAAAUAUUUCAUCUAUCUAAUUCAUGAAAAAUGAGAUAAAAAUAAUGUAGUCUGCUAUUUAUAAGAGUAGCAAUGGCUGAUUUUCACUCUCCUUUAACUUGGCCUUCUUGGAUUUUUGGGUCUCCAGAUUCGGAUCCUUUGUGGGUCAUUGUCUCUCCUCCAUCUUCGUUUUUGUCUUCCUCCUCUUCUUUGUAUGCAGGUUGAAUCUCUCUUCUCAUGUGUUUUCUUUAUUGCAGAUUCUUUUGCUAAAACUCGAGCGUCUCUGCUGAUUUUGUUUUUUGGCCUUCUAGCAAGUCUUAGCCAUCUUCUUCAGAAUCUUCUUGAUGUAUGGGCACAUUAUCAUUGCCAUUCUCUCUUGUUCAUCUUCUUCUGCUCUAAUGAACCCUUUUUCUAGAUUAUCUUUACUUUCUUGGAGCAACUCUUCUUUAUUUUCUUGAUCUUUUAAGUGCUCUGGAACUUCGGUUUCUUCCUGCAAAGGAGAAAGAUAAUCAAGUGGAGUUUCUUACUGCUGGUUCACCCCAAUUUCUAUUUUCUAUGCAUCUUCCUCCAAAACAACUAGACUCGCUUUAGUUUUUCAAAUUUGAUGUUUUUCAAAAGAAACCCGGCUUUCAUUCAUCAAAUCUCCCUGGUGCUCUCUUGCUCAAGUACAGUUCUUUGCUCCUCUUCAUCGACACCUGCUUCCACUUCGUUUUCCUUUUGUUCUUCAUCGUUUCCAUCAUCUUCACCAUUUACCUCAUCUGUGGGUAUUUGAGAAUUUAGGGUUAAAAGAGGGGUUGUUUUUUAUUUUUCAUUUUACUUAAAUUACUUUGAUUAAAUAUGUAAUCUAAAUAUUAAAUAAGUUAAAUAAAAAAUUAAUAAAAAAAUUUAUAUAGUCUACCACAUUUUAAAAUAUAAUUAUCAAAAAAUUUAUCAUUCUGAUCAAUUAUAUUAAUUUUAAUAGAUUUAGAUUAAAUUGGGAAAAAUCUGUAAAGUUUUGAAUUUUGUAAAUAAGUUUAAAAUUUUUAAAAUAUAAAUAGAAAAUGAAUAAUAGUUUCAAAACAAUGGAAAAAAUGAAAAAAAGAUAAAAAUUAUGGCAGCAAAGUUAUUAAAAAUCUUUAUAUGUUUUAACCCGUUCCAACUCGCCAAUUAAACUUUCUUACGGCCUUUUUCAACAAAAUAAUAACGACAAUCAAAUGGCCUCCAAAUCGGAACCUCACCAAGCUGUCACUUUAAUAAUUCCUUUUCUUUUCUCCCUUCAUCCACCAGACUUGCCCCCACGUCCACCUGCACUGUCGUUUGCUCUUUCACAAUUUCACAAACCAUUACCCCCACCUGCACUGUCCGGCUCUUUCCGCCGCCGAUCAUAUCAGGUACUCUUCCCUACGUUUAGUCUAUAUUUCAUUUAGCUUUUCGAAGGAUCCUAGUUUGUAUUUGAGGAUCACGGGUACUAAACGCUAAAAAGUUUCUAGAUCGACCUUUUUUUAAGAAUUUGGAAGGAUGAGUGAAGUAUUUGAAGGAUACGAGCGUCAAUACUGCGAGCUCUCCUCUAAUCUUUCCAGGAAAUGUACCGCAGCUGGUGCUCUUGAUGGAGGUAAAUUUUUUGUCCUGAAAAAGGGAAACAAUAAGCACCUUAUUUUGUGAAUUUCUAUUCUUUGUUGCUUAACUAUUGUUCUUCGCUGAUCGGCUUGCACUUUUAUGGAAUUUUAUUUAUUUAUUUUUUCUAAUUUUGAUUCACGUUUUAAUUUGAGGUAACUUUUUUACGGUAUUAAACUGAGGCCCAAAUUUUCUAUUCUCCUGAGGGUUUCAAAAAUUUUCCCGUUUCGGAUCUAUUCGCCCCUUUCUAUUUGGAUUUCCAUUAUCUUUAUUUUAUAUUUACGAGCACUAGCAAUUCUAUUAUAUGGUAGAGCAAGUAUAUUCAUCUGUAGCACGUGCUCUUGGUGUGUACUUGAAAUUGACAAGCAUAUUCAGCUGAAAGUUGUCUUGGUUAAGAACCCAUUGUCCUUCUGUGCUUAGCAUGUGUCGGAGAUAUUCAUAUUUAAGUGUUAAUGCAUUCUUAAAGGAUACUAUAAAAGUAAGUGGAACUUUAAAAUUAUAGCAAUGCACGGUUGCGUAUAACUCAUAAGAACAUGUUCAAUAUUUGUUGCCAAUGGCAGAAUUUCUUAGCUUCAAUUUAGUGUAUCUUUGUAUAGGUUCUGGCGUUCUGCAUUUGUGCUUAUGCAAUGCACAUAAUAUCAUGUGCAUAUUAUUUUUUUUAUUAAAUUUUGAUGUUGAUUCUGUCAUAACAAAGACAUUACAUGGUUAUUUUGAUGUGAGAAACUGUGACUCCUGCAGAGAAAAAGAAGCAAAAGCUUUCUGAAGUUAGAACUGGGCUGGAAGAUGCAGAAUCUUUGGUACCUAUUUCCAUAUUUUCUCCAGGGAAUUGAUUUACGUUUUUAUCCUCCUUUAUUCUUCGUAGUUAUUAGUUCAAGCUUUCUGUUUAUAUCUUUCCAGAUUCGCAAAAUGGACCUUGAAGCAAGAAGUUUGCAGCCAAAUGUUAAGGCUAUGCUUCUGGCUAAGUUGAGGGAAUACAAGUCAGAUCUGAACAAUCUGAAAACUGAAGUUAAAAGAAUUGCAUCUGGUAACCUAAAUCCUGCUGCCCGAGAUCAGCUGCUGGAAUCAGGAAUGGCUGAUGCAUUGAUGGUAUGUCUAGUUCUGUAAUUUUUUCUUUUAAACAUGUUCCCAAUUUCAAGUGCUACGGUGAUUAAUUUUUUUUGUAAUGAGCUUGUUGUACAUGCUAUUAUUCAUUAGUAUAUAUUAAAAAAUUUCGUUAAUGUCUUUCACUUUCAGAUUGUUGGUAGAUUCACAUUUUCUUUGUCUUAAGUUGUGCAUAAUUUGUUGAUACUGUUCAUAGUUAUUACUGUUUAGUUAUAUUUACGCAGAAAAUAAUGGUUUCCUAUGUUAUACUCAUAAAAAGGUCUUGGUUGUGCUUGUGCAAAUGAAAUCGUCAUGUGCAUUCUUGUUUGUAGUCAUAUUUUGUCAUUAUCAGCAAGAGGAAUCCAAGAAACAUGUCAUGCAUUAUACUGCUCUCUGUUUCCCUUUUCUUUGGACACCCUUUACCUCCCUCUGUCUCCUUGGUUUAGGUGUGUUAAGUUUAUGCUUAAGUUCUGUUGAGUUGCCAGUAUAAGGUUUUAAAUCGCUACUUGCUUCUUUCUCUUACAAAUGGCUAUUUGAGUCAGUAGAAAACCUCUGAGUUAAACCUCUUCGUUUUGCUACUAGUAUAAUCACUUUAAGUUUUGAGACUCAUCCUUCUUCCUUUUUUGGGUUGAUUCUGUUGAACACAUUUGAAACUUAUGAUUCAUUCAACUGUAAUAGGCCUCGGCAGAUCAAAGAUCAAGAUUAAUGGUUUCUACAGAAAGAUUAAAUCAGUCCAGUGAUAGAAUUAAGGACGGCAGAAGAACCAUGCUGGAAACUGAAGAGCUUGGUGUUUCAAUUCUUCAGGACUUGCAUCAACAGCGACAGUCUCUAUUACAUGCCCAUAAUACGGUAUUCUUUUAUUUUCAAGAUUUUACUACUACAAAAUUAAAUAUUUUACUUUUGUUGGCUGUUUGUGUGAGUUACUGAAAGUGCAAUAGCGUACAACGUUCUGGCUGCCAACUUUAACCCCAAAAAAGGAAUAAAGUGCAACCAAGGCCCUGAACUUUUUUGCUGAUGUUCAAUUAAGCCCAUUUUUAUCUUCUUACCAAAUACGUAAUGCCCUCAACUUUCUGAUCAAGUCAAAUAGGCCCAAUUUUUUGCCAAAAUAAUUGAAGUGAUAAUUUCAACUUUAAUAAUCAAUAUUAAUGUUUAUAUUUUAAAUAUUUACUCAAAUAUAAAAUUGGUAAAUCAAUACAGAAAGAGAACAAAUUCCAUAAACUAAACUUGAAUCCAGAAUACAUAUCCAUGAUAACACAAACCCAAAACUCCUCAAGAAAACAGACAUUCACAACAAACCAAAACAAAUUAAUUUUCUCCUCUUAAGAACACAAACCCAGAACUUCUGAUGAUUGACCCCAUAACCUUGUCAUUUUCAACCAUCUGCAAACUUAAUCUUCCAUUCAUUGUGCCUCUAUAACCCCAACCCCUAGAUCCACGACAGAAUCCAAACUUAACCUUGCAGGAUCCAGCACCUCCAUUAUCUCAGGGAAACCUCCUCCAAGGUAUUCCCUUUUGCACCUCAAUUUUGGCUCGAACCUUGAACUCUCGUUUAGGAGUGGAAGCUUCCCUCUGAGGAAGGGAUUGGAGAAUAUGCCGAGAACUGGAUUCUAAAGCUUGGAAAUUUUGGUGUUUGACAUGCAUAUGAAAUCCUAGGAAUGCUUUCUACCGGAAAUCAAGGGUUUGCUGUUUGCUGCAAAAGAAACCAAGCUAGAGACUACUCAACCUUCAUCACCAUCACCAUGGAUUACAUGCAUGGUUCCAGUAAGGGUAAUUUUGGCUUCAACUUUGCCUUACUAGAGAACUCCACCAAGUUGGCUCAAGAUAUCUCCUCAGGAUGUGGAGAAGAAAAUUUGCAUAGAAAAGGCUUACUCAAAUUGGUGCCAUUCUCCGUGAUUCUCAUGGUAUUGCUCAGUUAAGAAGAAUAAGAAGAGGAAGAAGAGGUCAUUGAUCUAGGGUGUCUUGGAUUCGUGAUUAGGGUCUUCUCGGUUAAUAAUAUAGUGUUACCAACUUUUUUUUUUUAAAUGUAAAUAAUUUUUAAUAUUUAGCAAAAGAGCAAAAUAUUUUAGCAUGUUAGAACUAAUUUGGACUUAAUUAGAAAGUUGUGGGUUUAUUUAGUUAAAAAGAUAAGCUUCUUUGAAUAUCUAUUAAAAGUAAUUAUGUUUCUCCAUCUAUUUUCUUGUUUUCUUUUCCUUGUAGCUUCAUGGAGUGGAUGACAACAUUGGCAAGAGCAAGAAAGUAUUGAAUGCCAUGUUGAGGAGAAUGAACAGGAACAAGUGGAUCAUUGGUGCUGUUAUUGCAGUCCUCCUUGUUGCUAUCGUCUUGAUCUUGUAUUUUAAACUCAAAUAAUCUGAAACAUUUCUUCCAGUUCCCUCCCUGAGUGUUAAAUGGGGACAUGAUUGCCUUUGGUUAAUUGUGUGAGUUUGCCAUAAAGUUCCUGACAAAAACAUGUGUUUUUUUAUCUAUCAAUUUGCUAUUCAUCCAUUUUUACUCCUGUGGGGUGGAUUUUGGUCUACUUUGGCGUCUUUCUGGACAUGAUAGUUGUCCAGGAGCAAUUUGAAAGAUGUUUGAUAAUGGAGAGAGCAAUUUUAGGGCUGCAAUUCUGGUUUUUGGUCCGUGUACCAAGUAAGCUGUCAUCAGAAGGGACGGCAAAGGGUCGAGUUUGGUAAUCAGAUUUGAAUCCGUUUAUGUGAAAAAAUAUUUAAAUAUAUAUGAUAUUUUUCCGUUCUAUAACUUUAUUUUUUUAUAAAUAUUAAAAAAUAUAAUUUUUUUAAUUAUAUUUAUUUUAAAUAUAUUAAAUUUUAUUAAAUAUUAAAAAAUUAUAAUUAAAUAUUAAAAAAUUUUAAAAUUAAAAUAAAAUUAAAUAAAUUUAUAAUAGUCGAUGUAUAUAUUAUUAUAAUAUAAAAAAUAGAUAAUAUUUUUAAGCUAAUAAUAAAAAGAUAAAAGACAGAAAUUAUGGGAGGGAAGGAGAAAAUAUUUUUUUUAUAAUAAUAUUUAUAUUUUUAUGUAAUAUUAUAUAUUAUAUAAAUAAAAUUUAAAUAUUUUAUAAAAUAUUAAAAUUUUGGAAUGUACAUUAUUCUUUUAAAAAUAUAUUUUAUUCACAUUAUUAAUUAAAAAAUUAUAAAAUUAAAUGGCUUUUAAAUUUUUUUAAAUAAAAAUAAUAAUCAAGCUUAAUAAUAAUUUAAUAAUUAAAUUUUAAUUAAAAUUUAAAAAUAUUGAAUAUGUUAAAACAUAUUGAAAAUAUGAUUGUUUACAGAUAAUCCGGCGAAUAAGGAUUGAUAUAUUUAAUCAUAUCCCACUGGAUAAGGGCUGCAUGGGAAGAGUAGAGGAAUUAUUUAUCUAGGGAUUUUUAUUUUGAGAAAUUACUUAAAUUAAGGAUCGUAAGAAAGAUCAAAGGUAAUAUCGUGAUUUCAUAACUCACUAAUGCUUAAAAUGGAUUAAGGGUCUUUUUAGUUAAUUAGUUAUAACUUCAUAAUAAUAAAUUUAUAAUUAUUUUUAUAUGAAAUUAAAAAAUAUAAUAAAAAUAGUAAAUUUUAUUUUUUCUUUUAAUACAUCAUCUUCUUUAUGUUACUUUGUCAUUGAAUUAUUACGUUGCAUAGAUGUUUCUAGGCCAAUGUACACCGCCAGGGGAUGUAGCUCAACUGGUAGAGCGCUCGCUUUGCAUGCGAGAGGCACGGGGUUCGAUCCCCCGCAUCUCCAAUAUUUUUUUUAUCUUUAAUAUAAUUUUUUCCCUCGUCUUUAAUGUAAUUUUUGAAGCGGUUUGCAAGUUUGAUGAUAAUUUAAUUUUGGUUCAGACACUGCAUGGCUUCUUUUCUAUCACUCUUGUUUAUGAUUUAUUUUGAAAAAAAAUCUAAAAUCAUAUAAAAUUUUAAUUUCUUUUAAAAUAUUUUUUUAACUUAAAAAAUUUAAAUUCUUUCAUUUAAAAAAAUUAAUUAAAUUAAAUUUUUACAAAUUUUUUAUUCUAAACAAAGGUCUAAUGUUUGUUUGAUAAUUUUUUUUAUCUAAUGAGUAAAUUGAUGGUUUCUAUUCCUACGGAAUAAAAAUAGUACAGAAAGAUAUUUGACUAGAAACUUAAUUUUCUGAUUUAUUAUUUUAAAAUAAAUUUAAUUAAAAAUUAUAGUAUGCUUGUGAUUAAAAAAAAGGAAGAAUAUAGCUAAAUAAAAUUGAUGACGUUAUAUUUAUUAUUUUAAAUUAUUAAACUUGUUAAAUAUAAUAAAAGAAUCUGAUAAAUUUCUUUAGUAAAUUAUAUAUUAAUAUAUUUUUUUAAUGGGAAAAUUGUGGAAGGCAAGAUCAGCAAAGAGAGGGCAGUGGAGAUCCGAUAAAUCACCAUAAACCAAAUUCACGUAAAAAGCUCCCCUCCGUUUCUGCAAACGUCACCGUUUUUUCGAUCUUAUAAAGCAACGGAACGCUAUAAAACGGCCCCCACCCCGUUUGUCCUUUCGUAGUUAUCGACUUGAUCGUUGGAACCUUCUUCAACUGAAGCCAUGCCGUACUAUACGAGGAACGAUGACGACGUUAACGAUUUCGACGAGUAUGAUCCGACACCGUAUGGAGGAGGAUACGACAUUGCCUUGACAUACGGCCGUCCCACCCCACCGUCUGAGGAGACCUGCUACCCAAACAGCUCCUCCGCUGACGAGAUCGACUACGAUCGCCCCCACUUCUCCUCGCACGCCAAGCCCUCCGCCUACGCCGACGACCAUCUCCAGGAGGAAUACACUAGCUAUUCCCGUCCAAAGCCCCGACCUCGCCCUGCUCACGGCGGUGCCCAUGGAGGGGAUGUGUUUUUAGAUGCUAGGCCUGAGCCUGGUUAUGGGUCCCAGCAUGAAAGGACAAGGCCUGACUCCGAUUAUGGAGAUGAGUCACCAAGGAGGCAUAAUCAUGGGAGGCGAGGAGAUGAGUCACCAAGGAGGCAUGAUCAUGGGAGGCGAGGAGAUGAGUCACCAAGGAGGCAUGAUCAUGGGAGGCGAGGAGAUGAGUAUGAAAGGCGCGAUUCGGAUGAUGAAGAGCGUUAUAGACGCAAGAAACAUGUAAGUGAUUUCGCAUUUAGAACACAUUUUUCAGAUUCCUGUCUAAACAGAAUUGCUCCUAAAAUAGCAAUUUAUGAUAUAUAUAUCAUAUAUGUGAAUUUGCCAUUACUUUGUCUUGUACUUUUUCUGAUCAUGUGUGAAAUUAGCAGGGAGACGAUGAUGAUUCUGAUGAUGAAGAGAAGAAACACCAUCGUCACAAACAUCACCACCACAAGAAGCACUCUGAUGACGACGAGUGAUGCCGCUGAUUUUGAAGGGAAUUCUCGCCAUGCUACUUAAUAAAGGAUUGAGUCAUGAUUCCUUUUUAAUAAUCGUUUUGUGUGAGAGCUCUUUUAUGUUUCCUGUAUUACGAUGGAUGAUCUGUUAAUAAUAAUACGCAUGCCGCCAUUAGCCAGUAGCUACUGGGCAUGUUUCGUCUUUAAUGGUGGUGAGUGAAAAUCAUCUACUAUGUAUGUGCUUCUAAGUAAAAUAAUAAGUUAUGAGUGUGGGAUAUCCCUAAACUUUGGACUUCGCUGAUCGGGGAAAUUUCAUCAAUUACAUUGGCGUUAAAUUUGUAAUGGGGUUGAGGGUCAUCGUAGAAUUUGAGCACUAAAUGCUGCCAUUCUUCCAUGAGCCAAAGAACCCCGAUCCUGUUGAAAAAUUGACCAAUUUAUUCUUCUUUCAAAACACAAUUAAUUUCAAAAUAUAAAUAAUCAUAUGUCUAUUCAUAAUUAUUUCAAUACUUAAAUCAAUAGAAGUAUUUUUAUAAUCUUUUAAGUAACCCAGAAUGCUUUAACAGUACUUCAAUUUUUAAGUUUAUUCUCGAUAUGACUAUGAUUACAAGAUUCCCCUCAAAUUUUUGUAUCGUAUAUCUUAAAAUAUAAAAAUAUCAGAGAUUUUCCUCCAAAUUAUAUAUAUAUGAAAACCAUAGCUCUAAUAUCAUAAACAAAAGGAAGAAUCUAGUGGGAAAAGUGAGUUUUAUUGACGAAUAAGAAAAUAUACGUUGUAGCUUUACAUACAAUCCCAAAAGUCAAACAAUCAUAACUGUGAAUAUAAUAAGAGGAACAUACUUCUCUCUCUAGUCUCUAGAGAGACUUUCCCCUGGGUUGCUCUUUAUUUCUGCUAGGGCUAGUCCCUCUUUGUUUUGGCCACCAGUUGGUCUUCCUUUGUCCCUUUGGGUAAGGGAAGGUCACUCCUUCCCCAAUCCAAACGUGGGUCUCCCUCUCUUGAUGGGUUGUGGUAUAAAUAUUUUUUUAGAUCUCAGAUUUUUAUUUGGUUGCUUAUAUUUUGAUGCUACUUUUUUUCUUCCUUUUUCUUCCUUUCUUAGUUUUUUUUAGUUUGUUUUUUACUAGUGGUUCUUGAUUGCAGGUGAAGACUGGUUUGGUUGUCUCUAGGACGUUCACAAUGUCCACGCUGGUUUUAGGUUACUCUGGUCCUUUACAGGCGCAGAGCUCUACCUUUCUUGUUGUCUUCGUCGAGCUUAUUGGGUGCAUGAGAUCCUUUCUCUUUACUGCUAUGUUCCUCCUCCGAUGAUGAUGGUUGAUCUGUGCCUUUUUAGGUUUUUUCUCACAACAUCCUUUAGAUUGUUUAUGGGCUUACAUGUUAUUUUCUAUUUUUUCACCUUAGUUAACGGAGGCGAGAGUUGUAAGGAGAGCCUUCUUUUCUUCGCCAGAAAGGUUUUUAGGCAUCCUUGAGUUUUGAUGUUCCCCUAGGUUGGUGGAUUUAAGGUGAAGAGCGACGCUUCCCCUUAGUUGCUUAUAAAUCUAUCCUUUGAACCUAGUACAUCAAUUGUUUCAGGGUUUCAUGGACUCAGGCCUCUUGUGCCUACUGUAAUGGGUUUGGGUCUUAAACUUAGUGGUUUAUUUGUUGAGCCUUGUACUUUUUUGUAUCUGGAACUUCUAUAGCCGUCUCUGAUGUUUUGGGGUUUAAGCCUCUUCUUAGUGCAUCUUAGUUUUAGCAAGCAAAAAGAAAAACCAGACAGUUACACAAUACAUAUGGUAACUAAAGGUAAAGAUAAAUUACAAUAACAAUGACUCAUAGCUACAACACUUCUUGCAGAAGCACUAAGGACAUGUUUAAAUCGGCCCCAUGAGUGUAAAAAUAGUUGAGAAAGACAAAUUUGUUUGUAGUGAAUUGUAUGGAACUUCAUCAAAUUGUUCCUCCAUAUCUCUUUUUUUUUUUUUUUUUUGGCUCUUUUACCAAUAUGUUAUGUAGUAUAUGUAUUUUUUAAGGGGAAAAAACAUAUAUUUUAGUAACAUGUACUUUCUCUUAGUAAUAAGAGUCUAAUUUUUUUUUUUUAUUGCUGUGAAUGAUGAUUUUUUAAAUAUUACUAAAAUAAAUAAUUAAUGAUAUUAAAUUUCAUUGAUUUGGUAUGAUAAUAUUAUCUCCAUUUGAUAAUGCAACACCGAUAUGAUAUGAUGACAUUAUAUCUUUUAUGAUUUGACAUAUUAUAUCAUUAUCGUGAUGAUGUAGCACCACAUUAUAUACCAUUAUCAAUGGCAUUAUUUUUUAUGAUAAUAUGAUAUUCUAUUUAAACUUUAUAUCACUUAAUAUGGUACUAACUAUCGUGUAAUUAUUGAGUAUGUCAUGUAUUUUGAAUUGACUGUAAAAUAAAAUUUAAAUAAUGAAUAUUAAAAUAGUAAAAUUUUAAAAUAUAUGAAAAAAUAAGGGAGAGGAAGAGACAUAAUGAAUAACAUAUGUAAAUAGAGCGGGAAAAAGACUUAAAAGGCUCAAUUGCGAGCAGUGUCCCAACUUGCGAGGGAGGAGUAGUGGCUAGUGUUGCACGAGGGAGGAGUAGCGGCUUGCGUCACAAGGGAGAUGAUGAGAAAGAAGAAGAUGAUGCUGGAGGUGGCUGCAAAUGGAGAGAGGCUAGGGAGAAAAGAGGCGGCUGCAAAAAAUAAGAUUUAGAGUUUUGUAAUGUUGUUUAUAUAUGGUGACCGUUGGAUUAAAUUUUUCUUAUGGAUUUCGGUUAUUUAAUUAAAUCAAACUGAAAAUUGAUAUAUUAAUAAAUCAAUAAUCGAAUCAAAUUGAAUAUGUUAAAUAAUUGAAUUGAUCAGUUUGAUUUGAUUCGAUUAUUAAUUAACAAUAAAAAACUGCUAAUCUUAAUAUUAUAAAUAUAUGAUAUGAAGUUUACAUAGAAUACCAUAUCAUCAUCUAAGAUAACGUCACAAUAUAAUAUUCACAUCAUUUAUAUGGUAUGCCAUGUCAUUAUGAAAUGUAUCAUUAUGUCAAUAAAUGACACAUUAUCAUUAUCAUGCUAUUGAUAAAAUUUAAUUUAUUUUGUUAAUUAUUUAUCGUAACAGUGCUAAAUAAAUGGAUUCAUAUGUUUUCGUUUACAAUUAAAAAAAGUUUAGAUCGUUGUGGUUAAAAGUGCAAAAUUCUCCUUUUUUUAUCAUACUAUCUAGCAUUUAAAAACCAGUUAAGGAUAAUAACGACAAAGAUUAAACUCAAAACCUUUUAGUCUGAGUGAGGUAAGUGUUCCAGGCAUAUUGAGCAGUUAUUAUGCUUUAUUUGUCUUCAAAACCUUUUUAAAAUUAAUUUUUAUACUUUAUUUGUCUUCAAUAUUUUUAUAAAAAAUAAAUUUAUUACUAUUAUGACUACUAUUGUUAUGCUUUUUAUUUUUUAUUAAACAAAAUGUAAAGAAUAUUUAUUUCAAAACACUAUUUUAUCUAAUUUAAAUAUAAUCUCUAUAAUUUUUUGUAAUUAUUGAGAAGGAAAAAAUAAUAUAAUUGAAAAAAAUAUAACAUUAUUGAAUUUAAUAUAUGUGAAAAUAUUUAUUUCAAAAGAUUGUUUUAUUAAUUAAAUAAAACUUUAAGUAUUAUAUUAUAAUUUAUUUGCUAAUUUUUUAAAUUUAGUUUAGUAUAUUAGUUAAAAUUGUGACUAAUUUUAAAGUUUUGAUUUUAUUGAUAAAAAAUAAAGUUUAAGAUAUAAAUAUAAUUUUUUUUUAUAAAUAUUUGAAUUAUUUUAUCCCAUAACUCAAAAAAAAUAUAUUUAAAAUAGAAAAUUUAUUAUUAUUAUAUAUUAUUAUUAUAACUUUUUUUUAACAUAUCUAAUAAUAACAUUAAAUAUGCUCCUCAUUAUUUUAUUUAUUUAUUUAUUUAUUUUAUUAAUGAACAACUUAACUUUUUUAUUUUUUAUAAUUAUACUUUCUACUUUUAUAUUUCAAUAAAUCUAUCCCACUAUUAAUGACAUUAAUAAUCGCAUGUUAAAAAUAAAUUAUUGGCCAAAUAUAUGUUAUAUUUGUCAAAAAAAAAGUUUUGUUACAUAUGUUAAAAGUAAAAGAUUUCAAGAUUUUUUUUUUCAUUAACUCUAUAUAAUAUUAUUCUAUUAUUUCUGUCAAUUAUAGCUUGAAAUUAAAAUAUAUAUAUAUUUUUAAAAAAAAUUAUUCAAAAGAUGAAAUAAAAUGAUACCAUAUUCUCUUUUUUAACUAAUUUUGAAUUUAAGUCAUAAAUAUAUAAAAAAAAAUUUAAAUUAUAAAAUCAGUGAUUUGUCCCAUAAUAUAUCUACUUGACAUAAAUUCAAAUUAGUACAGAAUGAAAACUUUAAAUACNNNNNNNNNNAAAAAAAAAAAAAAAAAGUAAAUACUAGAGAGAGCGAUUUUUACUUGCUACGAUAAUGAAGUGGUGUGGAACCGAACUUUACCAUCUCCAUUCUUGCUCCAAUAAAUAUAAGAAUCGAAUGAAAAAGAGAAAUUUUAAGAGUUUAUAGUAAUAGAAGAACGAAGAAGAAAAUACAUCAUCAAUCAUUUAUUAAUUAGUAAACGCCAAUAUUCCAUCAGCACGGAAUAGUAAGAUCAGAAAGAGAUGACUGAAUGAAGUGCCGACGAUGGCUAUACUAAUAAAAUAAGCUAAGCACUAUUACUAACAACCCUUUUUGUAUAUCCCGAUGCAAUCCUUGUUUAUUGCAUGUGGAAUGCAAUAGUUUUUUGCAGGGCCGCAGUUAAAAUCUGGUUGAUUUUUAUUCAAACCCUUAUAAGGAUUUGAGUAAGCAGCAGCAGCGAGCUUUCCACUGAACUCGGAGUCCAUCAUGAACUCAAAAUCAACGUUUGCAUCCCCUACGGAGAAGUGGUUGCCAUCUGUGGCCUUUGGAACAGCAGCUCUGCAAUUGCUUGUGCUCAGCAGAAUCAACACCACCACUGCCAUGACUGACACUGAUUCAGAGAAACACCUCAUAUUUUGUUUUGCCUCUAUUUUCUUGUUAUUUUCUGCUGCUGUGCUGUGCUGUGUAGCCAUAUUAAAUAAUAGGAGCUUCACGUGAGUUGUGGUUGUGUGAAAGCGACUUCACCAAACCAAUUGAUAGAAACAUGCCGAUAACUUUUUG
rnacentral:lncRNA from 1 species